CCUAGGGGGUGCAGCAGUGGGGAAUAUUGGACAAUGGGCGAAAGCCUGAUCCAGCCAUGCCGCGUGUGUGAAGAAGGCCUUCGGGUUGUAAAGCACUUUCAGUGGGGAAGAAAGCCUUGGGGCUAAUACCCUCGAGGAAGGACAUCACCCACAGAAGAAGCACCGGCUAACUCCGUGCCAGCAGCCGCGGUAAUACGGAGGGUGCGAGCGUUAAUCGGAAUUACUGGGCGUAAAGCGCGCGUAGGCGGUCUGAUAAGCCGGUUGUGAAAGCCCCGGGCUCAACCUGGGAACGGCAUCCGGAACUGUCAGGCUAGAGUGCAGGAGAGGAAGGUAGAAUUCCCGGUGUAGCGGUGAAAUGCGUAGAGAUCAGGAGGAAUACCAGUGGCGAAGGCGGCCUUCUGGACUGACACUGACGCUGAGGUGCGAAAGCGUGGGUAGCAAACAGGAUUAGAUACCCCGGUAGUC
rnacentral:rRNA from 1 species